rnacentral:rRNA from 1 species
CCUACGGGAGGCAGCAGUGGGGAAUAUUGCACAAUGGGGGCAACUCUGAUGCAGCAACGCCGCGUGGGUGAAGAAGUAUUUCGGUAUGUAAAGCUCUGUUAGCAGGGAAGAAAAUGACGGUACGUGACUAAGAAGCCCCGGCUAACUACGUGCCAGCAGCCGCGGUAAUACGUCGGGGGCAAGCGUUAUCCGGAUUUACUGGGUGUAAAGGGAGCGUAGACGGCAGGGCAAGUAUGGAGUGAAAGCCCGUGGCUCAACCCCGGGACUGCUCGGGAAACUGUGGUGCUGGAGUGCAGGAGAGGUAAGCGGAAUUCCUAGUGUAGCGGUGAAAUGCGUAGAUAUUAGGAGGAACACCAGUGGCGAAGGCGGCUUACUGGACUGUAACUGACGUUGAGGCUCGAAAGCGUGGGGAGCAAACAGGAUUAGAUACCCUAGUAGUC